CAUCAAAGAAGUAUUUGUUGACAUUGGAAGUAUUGGAGAAGUCAAACAGCUCCACUAUUGCUCAGUUGUUUAUAUCUUCACUUGCUGUACUUUGGCAAGAGGGUAUAAAACAUGAGAAUGUUCUUCUGUUAGUGAUAGAUUU